GGACAGAGUUAUGAGGUACCUAUGUUCGUAGGAGGUAAACGGUACCUGAUGGAAUUAGUCAAGGUGAACAAGUUGGCCCGAACACUGCUAUCAUAAGAAAAAAAAACUCUGUAUGGUGAACUACAUGCAAGCUUUGUGACAUUUGUACAUUCUUUCUUUGCGAUAUAUUAGAGUCGCAGAACUCUGAUCAGUGCCUAUAUCUGGC
rnacentral:misc_RNA from 1 species